rnacentral:rRNA from 1 species
GACAGAGGUCCCAAGCGUUUAGGCGGAAUCACUGGGCUUAAAGCGUGUGUAGGCGGGGCGUAAGUGUCUUGUGAAAUCCCACGGCUCACCCGUGGAACUGCUGGACAUACUGGCGCUCUUGAGCCACUUGAGGGCAACUGGGAACAAACGGUGGAGCGGUGAAAUGCGUAGAUAUCGUUUGGAACGCCAAUGGUGAAACAGGUUGA